rnacentral:rRNA from 1 species
GUGCCAGCAGCCGCGGUAAUACGGAAGGUCCGGGCGUUAUCCGGAUUUAUUGGGUUUAAAGGGAGCGCAGGCCGGUGCUUAAGCGUGACGUGAAAUGCCGCGGCUCAACCGUGGAAGUGCGUCGCGAACUGGGUGCCUUGAGUGAGUUCGACGUAGGCGGAAUUCGUGGUGUAGCGGUGAAAUGCUUAGAUAUCACGAAGAACCCCGAUUGCGAAGGCAGCCUACGAGGCCUCAACUGACGCUAAAGCUCGAAGGUGCGGGUAUCGAACAGGAUUAGAUACCCUGGUAGUCCGCACGGUAAACGAUGGACGCCCGCUGUUGGCGAUACACUGUCAGCGGCCAAGCGAAAGCGUUAAGCGUCCCACCUGGGGAGUACGCCGGCAACGGUGAAACUCAAAGGAAUUGACGGGGGCCCGCACAAGCGGAGGAACAUGUGGUUUAAUUCGAUGAUACGCGAGGAACCUUACCCGGGCUUGAACUGCAGCAGAACGAUUCAGAGAUGAUGAGGUCCUUCGGGACUGCUGUGGAGGUGCUGCAUGGUUGUCGUCAGCUCGUGCCGUGAGGUGUCGGCUUAAGUGCCAUAACGAGCGCAACCCCUGCGUGUAGUUGCCAUCAGGCGAUGCUGGGCACUCUGCGCGGACUGCCACCGUAAGGUGUGAGGAAGGUGGGGAUGACGUCAAGUCAGCACGGCCCUUACGUCCGGGGCUACACACGUGUUACAAUGGGUGGUACAGAGAGCAAGUCCCCAGCAAUGUGGGCUGAAUCAUGAAAGCCAUCCUCAGUUCGGAUUGGGGUCUGCAACCCGACCCCAUGAAGCUGGAUUCGCUAGUAAUCGCGCAUCAGCCAUGGCGCGGUGAAUACGUUCCCGGGCCUUGUACACACCGCCCGU